CUCUAUCUAAGCCACUGGGUCCAUGAUUUGAGAAUUAGUAAGCCUGCAUUGUGGGCUGAAGCUGCUUUAUCUACUGUGUGUGUGUGCUAUAAUAAGAAUGUGUGCUGUUUGCGAGUUCCUUUUUCCUGCGAGGAUGAGGAAGUGACCUACAUAGACCCUAAGUGUUUGAGCGCUGGAUUUGCAUUCAGAAGAGCGUGGAAGAACAACACGACUGCUCUCCAAAAAUGAUGAGAUGUAAUGCGGUUUAGUGGCAGGGUGGCGCUGUGAGAAACAAAGGCUGAAGCUGAUAGAAAGCUUCUGUUAUUGUGCCUUUAUCAGGAUUUACAAAAGCUCCAGUCUGGAUCCAGAACACUUGAGAAGAGAUGAUGGCAACCCCUCAGAGGACCUCAGAUGAUGCCAACCCUGAAACAACAUACAGAACUACCAAAUUUUGCUAUAAGUUCUUCCGCCCUUUAUCUAAUGGUGUGGUUGAGCGGAGGUUAGUGGCCAGUGCUGAACUAAUGCAAGCAGCCUGACUGGCAGACACAUGCGUCACUCCAUCAAACCGCUGACUCAUCUCACAGGAAGUGCUCUGAGGACUGGACACAACAGGAAGCGCAUGAGCAGGUAGG
ensembl:lncRNA